GCUGGGUGUGGUGGUGCAUGCCUGUAAUCCCAGCUACUCAGGAGGCUGAGGCAGGAGAAUCGUUUGAACCCGGGAGGCGGAGGUUGCAGUGAGCUGAGAUCGUGCCACUGCACUCUAGCCUGGGUAACAGAGUGAGACUCUGUCUCAA
rnacentral:sRNA from 1 species